AUACGGAGGAUGCGAGCGUUAUCCGGAUUUAUUGGGUUUAAAGGGAGCGUAGGUGGGAUAUUAAGUCAGCUGUGAAAGUUUGGGGCUCAACCUUAAAAUUGCAGUUGAUACUGGUUUCCUUGAGUACGGUACAGGUGGGCGGAAUUCGUGGUGUAGCGGUGAAAUGCUUAGAUAUCACGAAGAACUCCGAUCGCGAAGGCAGCUCUCCGGGCCGGAACUGACACUGAUGCUCGAAAGUGCGGGUAUCAAACAGGAUUAGAUACCCUGGUAGUCCGCACAGUAAACGAUGAAUACUCGCUGUUUGCGAUACACUGUAAGCGGCCAAGCGAAAGCGUUAAGUAUUCCACCUGGGGAGUACGCCGGCAACGGUGAAACUCAAAUGAAUUGACGGGG
rnacentral:rRNA from 1 species